rnacentral:lncRNA from 9 species
GCGGCCACGCAGCCAUAGACGCCCCCAGGUGGCUUUUCUUACUGGACACACCCUUUCAUUCCUAGGAGGGCACUGCUGUGUAUUGUAACAAUCCUGGGUUUAACUGGCAAACCUGAUGCCAAUUUCUCAUCUUUUUUUUUUUUUUUUUUUUGGUUGCACCCACAGCAUGUGGAAAUUCCUCGGCCAGAGAGCGAACCUGCACCACAGCUGUGGCCGCCCCAGAUGCUUAACCCAGUGCUCCCAGAGGGACUCCCUGCUGCUCAUUUUUCUUUUCUUUUUUUUUUUUUUUUUUUUUUUUGGUCUUUUUGCCUUUUCUAGGGCUGCUCCCGUGGCAUAUGGAGGUUCCCAGGCUAGGGGUUCAAUUGGAGCUGUGACCACCAGCCUACACCACAGCCACAGCAACACGGGAUCCAAGUCACGUCUGCGACCUACACCACAGCUCACGGCAAUGCCGGAUCCUUAACCCAAUGAGCAAGGGCAGGGCUCGAACCUGCAACCUCAUGGUUCCUAGUCAGAUUCGUUAACCACUGAGCCACGAUGGGAACUCCCCUGCUGCUCAUUUCUUUAAGGAACUUUCCUAGCCAUGAAAAUAAUGGGUCCAAUCACGCAGGCAUCUUUAACGUGACGAUGCAUAUGGUCAAGUUACACUCCUAAAAACUGGGCCAACCUCUGGCCCCGCCGGCAGCGCAGGGGGACAUGCUGACGGUACACAUCUGGGCUCCAGAUGCUCAAGGAGGGCCCACAGUCACGGGACCUGUUUGGAGCGGCAGGGACUCCCGAGGCAGCCACUCCUCUCCUGGACGAGCUCUGUGGAAGGAUCCAGAGCUCCGGGCUCCCCGCCCAGGCUGCUGCUUGCUGGCCAAGCCCCCUCGAGCUAGGGGUUCAUUUUUUCUUCGGCAAAAGAUAACCCUCUUCUGCCCGCCCCCCUCAGCGGAUCGGCAGAGGAAUGCUUUUGUCAUGUAGACACGCCAGACACCAAUGACUGGCCACAGGAUCACUUUUGAGAAGCACUGCUCACCUGGGUUGUCCCCAAGCCUCAGGACUUGGGGGGGGGAUGUGGGCUUGGGGUCCCUGGUUGGUUGGCUUGCGAGAUAUCGGCUUCAGCAGAACGUGAGCACAAACAAACUUCCUUUUCCUGCUGAGUGUUAUUGCACAGCACGCUCUGACCUGUCGUUAAGCCACACACCCGCAUGCGUGCACACACACACAUACACACACUCCCAGCAGUGGCCCAGCUAGGGGGGCACAGAGAGGGCUGAGGUGCCGGGGCGGUAGGAGGAGGACCUCAAUGGUGGGCUUUUCUUAUUCCUGAUAGAAAGUUCUUUCCUCCAUUGGGCCGAUGUGUGUCCUGCAGGAAUACCUGCCGUCAGGCCUGCGGCCACAGCCACAGCAAGACUGCCUGUCUGAGAGGCUGUGGCCAGUGCACAGUGGGCCCGCACAGAGCCCGAGGGGAGCCCGAGCCUGGAUGGGGACUCCAGAUCUUCACCAGGGACCCUGCGGGUAGCAGAGGACCCGCCAGCCUCCAGGGUGGCUCGAAGGCAGCAGAGAGGAGAGGGGGAGGGGCGCUGGAGGUGCUGGGGGCCUGGUGACGAGAGCCCAUCGGAAUGCGGCGUGUGUACAAACCCCAGGUCAGGGGCGGAGGGACAGACCAGGUGAAGCCAACACCCUCUGUCCAGGGGUCCAUGUAAUCUGCGGGCAGGCGGUAUCUCUGAUACCACUUCCUUCCGCUGGACCCAGAGGGACAUUUGAGAGGUGAAGACAAUUAAUUGAAUAAGGUUAGGUUGGCUAUUAGGUAACGCCAAACGUAUCAAGCUGUCCACUUUUUUUUUUUUUUUUUUUUUUUGCUUUUUAGGGUGUCACCCAUGGCAUAUGGAAGUUCCCAGGUUAGGGGUCCAAUCAGAGCUACAGCUGCUGGCCUACACCACAGCCACAGCAACGCAGGAUCCGAGCCUCAUCUGCAGCCUACACACAGCUCAUAGCAAUGCCGGAUCCUUAACGCACGGAGUGAGGCCAGGGAUCAAAUCCGAAACCUCAUGGAUAUUACUUGGGUUUUUAACCCACUGAGCCACAACGGGAACUCCAAGCUGUCCACUUUACACAUGUGCAACUUCUUGUGUGCCAGUUCCAGCUCCACAGAGCUGCCUAGAGAAACCCUGGCUCAGGGCAGCUCAGACCAAAAGAGGUACACUGGCAGAACAGAAUGUGUGUCUCCACACAGCCCGGCACAGCUGCAAAAGCUGCCCCCAGGCACGCCCAGGCACCGGCCACACCAGGUACUGUGACACCAAGCUCCACCCCCGUGAGCAUCACAAAACCCAGCCCCUCCCCCUCCGUCCCAAAGGGCAGGUGGGGGCCCAGCUCGGCUCUGCCUGGUUUCCAGCAGAUAAGGAAAUGGAGCGUGUGCAACGGGGAGGAGGGGAAGCCGGUGAACCAGCUGCGUCACCUCUGAGUCAAGGCACAGACUUCUGACACGCUUCCUCCUCCAGCUGCCGCAGAACGAAACCUGGGCCUACAAGCUCUGACCCAUGGCAGCGCCCCCCAGAGAUGCCCUCCUGUCUGCCCCAAGGCAGUCCCCUUGCCCACACACCCAUCCCUGCCCAGCUCAGCCAGGCCCAGAGCACAGGGGCCUCCUGCAUCCGGGGGUGUCCAGGAAUGGGAGGCCCUUACUUGCAGGUUUCUUUCCACACAGCUGGGCUCAGUUAUACUGGAUUCUGCGAAAUAGGAUCCUUAAUCUCAGGUGCAAAGCCAUGACCGCCCCCCCCCACUGCCCCCCAAAGGCAUCGUUGCAUGUGCUGGAGGGCUGAAUUAAUACUAGUGGAAUAACCCAAAAAGCAGGACCGCUGUUCAGCCUCACAGGUUGCGCACUGCACAAGUGCAGAGGGUGACAGGCCCAUGGUGACCUACCCGGGGUGGGGGUUAAACUUUAAUGUUACUAUAGAUCUUUACUAAAGACAAAAGGGUCAGGAACAAGCAGGCUUGUCCACAUCAGGGCCAGGAAUGACAGGUGUGGCCGUCAGGCUAAGCCAGGCAGAGGCCAGAGGGACCGGGCUCCAACCCCAGCUCAGCCAGGGACUACAGGUUCCCCUGAGGCAAGAGCCAUCAUUGCAUCACUUCCAACAGUAUGGAACCCAGGCAGGCACCGCAGAGCCCUGCAGUUUAGCAAGGAUCGCACAUCAUUAAUCGGAGAAUGAAAAUCCAGCUGGACUGAAGACUUCCAAGUCCCUCCCGGCUGGUGGCUCUGUGAUUCUCUGAGGCAAACCAGAGGGCCGCUGGGUAGAGGAUUUGGGGUGGGGGCGGGAGGGCAGCCAGGUGGGGCCGAUCCGACCUAAACACUCCACCAACAGAGAAACAAGCACACACCCUCUCCCAAUUCUGUUAUUUUUUUUCACCCGCCUCAGCUGGAACAAAGAGCUUUUUGUGAGUUUCGUGGAGCCUGACGGAACCCCUUUGCUGUCUCCUUCUCCUUCUGCGUGAGAAAAAAACAAACCGUUCCAUCCGGGUUCGCGAGGCUCCUUUGAAGGGCUUGCGGCUUUGGUUUAGGCAAACAGGAACCUGGCCGGGACACCUCCGCCCUGGCGGGGGCCACGGCCCACUUUCCAGAUGAGGAAUGCAGGCUCCCAGGGCCCCUGACCGACCAGGGCCCCCGAAGGCACCAGGGAGCAAGCAGUGGUGGCAGGCAGUCUGCACGGGACGGCGAGGUCGGCUAUUAGACUGCCCUGGCGACACAGAAGGGACAUUAACAAGGUCCAGAGAGCCAGGGCAGUGUGCAGCCCAGGACUAAAGCUCUGAGAGGCCAGAGGCUCCUGGGUCCCUGCCAUUCCCAUCACCACCCAGGCCCCUGACCACACCUGCCCCAGGGUCUUGGGUGCAGAGGUGGCUCAGAGCGGCCUUUCAAACUGCCCCCUCUCUCUGCUUCCUCGCUGACCUACCAUCCCCCUGCCCCACCUGGCCUCCCCUUCCUCCCUGCCAAGGGCAGGGUUCAGCCCGAAGACCGCCCAGGCCAGGUGCUUGACUAGAGGAGACGCAGUGCAAGUACUUACAGACUCUAAAAAGGUAAAAAGGUAAAAAGAGAAUUUGACAGGAUCACCCCUGGGGCUGAGGCAGCAGAGAGAACAGGCUGGGAUCGUGGAAACUUGGAAACAUGGGCUGGGACCCCAGCCUCAGAGAAAAGGGGUCCAGCUGGUGCCAGCAUGUCUGAAGAGCCGUGAAGCCGUUUUCACAAGCGCUGGAAAAGCCACAAACAGAUUCGGCUCCCUAGCCCAACCCUCUGCCUCUGAGACGCUUUGAGGGUUGGUUGGUUGGUUGAAUUUAUUUUCUUGGCCAUCCCCACAGUAGGUAGAAUUUCCUGGGCCAGGGAUCAAACCCAGGCCUCAGCAGUGACAAGGCUGGAUCCUAACACACCGAGCCACCAGGGAACUCCUGGCCCUGAGUAUCUAAACACAACUAUGUUCCCCGGGAAAGAAUCCCAGCCUUCCCUAACUCCUUCCUCCUGCGUUGCCCCCGCCUAAGUCUCUGCCGAGGAUGAAAAGUCUUGGCACCUAUUCGGGCAACCGUCAAACCCAGCAAUGACCCUUUUUCUCUCUUGUUCUUCGGCGUGUGCAACGGCUGAUCUUUGUGGCAACCUAGUGGGGCUGAGGAAUGGCCAGGGAGCUGGUAAGGCGUGAAUCCUGCCCGAGUGCAUCUCUAGCUGCGAGCGCAUCUCUGGAAGAGACUCACAUUUGAAUCGCUGGGCUGGGAAAGCAGGUGCCCUCUGCCAGGGUGGGGCCUCGUCCUGACCUUUUGAUGCAGUCGGGGUGGCGGAAGGGGACAUUCACUCUGCCGGGUGAGCUGGGACGUCCACCUCCCCUGCCCUCAGACACUGAUGCUCCUGCUUCUCCUGGUUCCCAGGCCUUUGGACACGGCCCGAACCUCCCCAGCAGCUCGCCUGGCCCAGCUGCACACCGUGGGCCCUGGGGCCGCUCAGCCACCACCAUCACGUGAGUCACUUCCCGGCCCUGGUUGCCUUCUGUAUCCAGAUACGUCCUGUUGGAGAGGCCCGGCCGGUUCUGUGCCUCGGAGACAUUUAUUUGAUUUUAUCUGUUAUUGAAGUGUAGUUGAUUUACAAUAUUACCUGAGUUUCAGGUGUAUCACACAGUGAGUCAAUAUGUUUAUAGAUUAUAUGCCAUUUAUUUAUUCAUUUUCUUUUUAGGGCCACACCCACGGGAUAUGGAAGUUCCCAGGCUAGGAGUCGAAUCGGAGCUACAGCCGCC